rnacentral:tRNA from 1 species
GCGUUGAUGGUGUAAUGGUUAGCAUUGCUGCCUUCCAAGCCGUAGAUCUGGGUUCGAUUCCCGGUCAACGCA